rnacentral:rRNA from 1 species
UGGGGAAUCUUGCACAAUGGGGGCAACCCUGAUGCAGCGACGCCGCGUGAGCGAUGAAGCCCUCCGGGGCGUAAAGCUCUUUCGACCGGAACGAUAAUGACGGUACCGGGAGAAGAAGCUGCGGCUAACUACGUGCCAGCAGCCGCGGUAAUACGUAGGCAGCAAGCGUUGUUCGGAGUUACUGGGCGUAAAGAGUGCGUAGGCGGUUUUCUAAGUUCGGUGUGAAAUCUCCCGGCUUAACUGGGAGGGUGCGCCGAAGACUGGGAAGCUGGAGUGUGGGAAAGGCAGGCGGAAUUCCUGGUGUAGCGGUGAAAUGCGUAGAUAUCAGGAGGAACACCGGCGGUGUAGACGGCUUGCUAGACCAUAACUGACGCUGAGGCACGAAAGCGUGGGUAGCAAACA